UAGAUCCCCAGAUGUUUAAAACUACACCUUCCAUGAUGCUUUGCCAUGCAAACCAUCAUGGGAGUUGUAGUUUUACAACAUCUGGGGAUCUA